GCUGUAGCGUAAUUGAUAGCGAGUUGGACUUCUAUUCCAAAGGGUGUGGUUUCAAAUCCCAUCUGAAAUG